rnacentral:tRNA from 1 species
GCCGUUUUGGCUCAGUGGCUAGAGCAUCAGCCUGUGGACUGAAGGGUCCCAGGUUCGAUUCCGGCCAAGGGCA